rnacentral:rRNA from 1 species
UACGGAGGGGGCAAGCGUUGUUCGGAAUUACUGGGCGUAAAGCGCGCGUAGGCGGCGAUGCAAGUCAGAGGUGAAAUGCCCGGGCUCAACCUGGGAGGUGCCUUUGAUACUGUGUUGCUUGGAUCCAGGAGAGGUGAGCGGAAUUCCGAGUGUAGAGGUGAAAUUCGUAGAUAUUGGGAAGAACACCAGUGGCGAAGGCGGCUCACUGGUCCGUAACUGACGCUGAGGUGCGAAAAGCGUGGGGAGCAAACAGGAUUAGAUACCCCCCGUAGUCC